UUCCCGCAACUGCCUUAGCCCCGCCCAUUCCCAGAGCUGGCCAAUCGCCGCUCCGCUGGAGACGCUGGCCCACCAAUCCAUGGACGGCCCUGCCCCAGGCCCGCAAGGCCUUUCGGGGGUUGUGGCCUCCAGGGGGUAGCGGGUCGCGGUGGAGCUGAGGUGUAGUGGGGCACCAGGUUAGUUAACCAGCAGGUCUUGCGUGCGUCUCACCCUCUGCUUUGAGAUGCUAGUCAAUCCCUUUCUUCGUGACAACAAAUCAGAUAAAAGGGGGAAGAGGUGAGAGAGAUUCUCUGGUGUAUAUCCCAGAGUGGAAAAGCUGGGUUGUACUGUAUGAGAGUAUUCAACUUGAAAUUCUGAAUCAUUUUCCAAGGCUACUGAAUCGGUUUGUAUUCCCAGCAUUGGGCUGUGCAUAGCAUUGCAUUUGGCGAAGAAGGCAAUGGCACCCCACUCCAGUACUCUCGCCUGGAGAGUCCCAU